rnacentral:rRNA from 1 species
GACGAACGCUGGCGGCGUGCUUAACACAUGCAAGUCGAACGGAAAGGCCCUGCUUUUGUGGGGUGCUCGAGUGGCGAACGGGUGAGUAACACGUGAGUAACCUGCCCUUGACUUUGGGAUAACUUCAGGAAACUGGGGCUAAUACCGGAUAGGAGCUCCUGCUGCAUGGUGGGGGUUGGAAAGUUUCGGCGGUUGGGGAUGGACUCGCGGCGUAUCAGCUUGUUGGUGGGGUAGUGGCUUACCAAGGCUUUGACGGGUAGCCGGCCUGAGAGGGUGACCGGCCACAUUGGGACUGAGAUACGGCCCAGACUCCUACGGGAGGCAGCAGUGGGGAAUAUUGCACAAUGGGCGGAAGCCUGAUGCAGCAACGCCGCGUGCGGGAUGACGGCCUUCGGGUUGUAAACCGCUUUCGCCUGUGACGAAGCGUGAGUGACGGUAAUGGGUAAAGAAGCACCGGCUAACUACGUGCCAGCAGCCGCGGUGAUACGUAGGGUGCGAGCGUUGUCCGGAUUUAUUGGGCGUAAAGGGCUCGUAGGUGGUUGAUCGCGUCGGAAGUGUAAUCUUGGGGCUUAACCCUGAGCGUGCUUUCGAUACGGGUUGACUUGAGGAAGGUAGGGGAGAAUGGAAUUCCUGGUGGAGCGGUGGAAUGCGCAGAUAUCAGGAGGAACACCAGUGGCGAAGGCGGUUCUCUGGGCCUUUCCUGACGCUGAGGAGCGAAAGCGUGGGGAGCGAACAGGCUUAGAUACCCUGGUAGUCCACGCUGUAAACGGUGGGUACUAGGUGUGGGGUCCAUUCCACGGGUUCCGUGCCGUAGCUAACGCUUUAAGUACCCCGCCUGGGGAGUACGGCCGCAAGGCUAAAACUCAAAGGAAUUGACGGGGCCCCGCACAAGCGGCGGAGCAUGCGGAUUAAUUCGAUGCAACGCGUAGAACCUUACCUGGGUUUGACAUGGAUCGGGAGUGCUCAGAGAUGGGUGUGCCUCUUUUGGGGUCGGUUCACAGGUGGUGCAUGGCUGUCGUCAGCUCGUGUCGUGAGAUGUUGGGUUAAGUCCCGCAACGAGCGCAACCCUUGUUCACUGUUGCCAGCACGUUAUGGUGGGGACUCAGUGGAGACCGCCGGGGUCAACUCGGAGGAAGGUGGGGAUGACGUCAAGUCAUCAUGCCCCUUAUGUCCAGGGCUUCACGCAUGCUACAAUGGCUGGUACAGAGAGUGGCGAGCCUGUGAGGGUGAGCGAAUCUCGGAAAGCCGGUCUCAGUUCGGAUUGGGGUCUGCAACUCGACCUCAUGAAGUCGGAGUCGCUAGUAAUCGCAGAUCAGCAACGCUGCGGUGAAUACGUUCCCGGGGCU